AUAAAAAAGCUGCCGAAUUUCAGUGUACGAAAACGGGGGAACCACUCCGGGUUAAUUGAUCCCGACCGCGCUUAUUGGAUAUUCAAGCACGGCCAGAGGGUAUCAUAGGUGACCUUCAACCGAACCCCACAGCUAACCUCGUAGGCAAUGGAAGGAGCACUA
rnacentral:sRNA from 2 species